GAGGAGGGCUGCGGCGGCGGAGCCUCCCGGUGGGAGAGGGAGGCGGCGGCGAGCCCGCGGGGGAGCCACACGCGCCAAGCGCCCGCUGCGCGCUCAAACGCCUCAUCGCGUUCAUCCUGGAGCCAGACUGUCUGGGUUCAAAUCCCGCCAGCCCACUUACCGGCUGUGUCAUCCUGGGCAAGUGACUUCACCUCUCCACGUCUCAGUUUGCUCGCAGGUUACAUAUAAAGAAACGCAGGCACAGAGAGUUCUGAAAGAAGGCAACUGGAUACCAGGCACUUUCAAAAGGAAACCCUUACCACAUGUGAGGAGGUCAGUGUUACUAUGAGCCCAUUUUGCCAGAAGUGGAAACUGAGGCUCCAGGGGUCAACAUGACGGCUAGCGGGGGCGGCAGGAUUUGGACUGGGGCUGGCCCAGCUGCAGGGCCUGUGUUCCUGUGUCUCAGCCUGGACUGCCUUGGUGAGGCUCUAUGACUUGUGGACAGACGGGGAGAGCUUUCCUGGCUCCUGGGACUUGACCAGCAUGCUCUUCUGGAG
rnacentral:lncRNA from 1 species